AACGUAGGAGACAAACGUUAUCCGGAGUUACUGGGCGUAAAGGGCGUGUAGGUGGUUUCGUAAGUCUGGCGUGAAAUAUCUCGGCUUAACCGAGGCAGGUCGUCGGAUACUGCGGGACUAGAGGACGGUAGAGGCGUGUGGAAUUCCGGGUGUAGUGGUGAAAUGCGUAGAGAUCCGGAGGAACACCAGUGGCGAAGGCGACACGCUGGGCCGUACCUGACACUGAUGCGCGACAGCAUGGGGAGCAAACGGG
rnacentral:rRNA from 1 species